UACGAAGGGGGCUAGCGUUGCUCGGAAUUACUGGGCGUAAAGGGCGCGUAGGCGGCACUGUUAGUCAGGCGUGAAAUUCCUGGGCUCAACCUGGGGACUGCGCUUGAUACGGCAGAGCUAGAGGAUGGAAGAGGCUCGCGGAAUUCCCAGUGUAGAGGUGAAAUUCGUAGAUAUUCGGAAGAACACCAGUGGCGAAGGCGGCUCACUGGUCCGGUACUGACGCUGAGGUGCGAAAGCGUGGGGAGCAAACAGG
rnacentral:rRNA from 1 species